GGCCGCCCACCUGGGAGGCUGGCAGUGACCUAAUACACGGCGGGCUACUCCGCGAAGCAGCUCCCCGUUCUUCCAGAUGCAGAGAACAUCAGCGACUUGCCCAAGUUCUUGCAGCCAGUAGGUUUCGUUUUUAAGUUAUCUCUACACCCAGCAUGGGGCUCGAACUUACAACCCCAAGAUCAAGAGUCGCAAUGCUCCACCGACUGAGCCAGCCAGGCGCCCCAACGGGGCACCUUUAUAUGCUCUGGUGCAAACAACGUCCGGUUUAUAUCAUUGAGUGUAUCUCCCCUGCUGCCGUGUGGGUAAGAGAACACAAAGAAAAUGCUGGUGAGCACAUGGGCAAGCCCUGAAAGGCCAAAGAAAGUGGAAAUGGUGUUUGCUUCUGGUUGCUGGACCUGGGUACCUGUGGGGCCAGAGGCCGUGGUGGGGAACCUGGUUUUCCGCUCUAUUUCCUUUUGUACCUUUUGAAUUUUGUAUCACUUGCAAAUAGGACUUCCUACUCAAAAAAUAAGUCAAAUUAACUUUUUUCCACUCCUGGAA